UACGAAGGGGGCUAGCGUUGCUCGGAAUUACUGGGCGUAAAGGGAGCGUAGGCGGACAGUUAAGUCAGUGGUGAAAGCCCAGAGCUCAACUCUGGAAUUGCCUUUGAUACUGACUGUCUUGAGUAUGGGAGAGGUAUGCGGAACUCCGAGUGUAGAGGUGAAAUUCGUAGAUAUUCGGAAGAACACCAGUGGCGAAGGCGGCAUACUGGCCCAUUACUGACGCUGAGGCUCGAAAGCGUGGGGAGCAAACAGG
rnacentral:rRNA from 1 species